CACGUAGGGCGCAAGCGUUGUCCGGAAUUAUUGGGCGUAAAGAGCUCGUAGGCGGUCUGUUGCGUCCGCUGUGAAAACCCGGGGCUUAACCCCUGGCUUGCAGUGGAUACGGACAGACUAGAGGUAGGUAGGGGAGAAUGGAAUUCCCGGUGUAGCGGUGAAAUGCGCAGAUAUCGGGAGGAACACCGGUGGCGAAGGCGGUUCUCUGGGCCUUACCUGACGCUGAGGAGCGAAAGCGUGGGGGAGCGAACAGG
rnacentral:rRNA from 1 species